UUUUGGCCAAUCCGCACCUCGCACCGCGCAUCCCGCAGCCAAUCCAUCCUCGCCUCGUCCCACUCCCGCACCAGCCACCACCCAAACCCUAGCCCCCUUUCCCCUCGAUCCCCACAGCCUCUCUCGCCUCCUCCAUCCCUCCUCCUUGCCUCGCCACGGCCUCCCCCGGAGCCUCGCCGCCGCUUGCUAUUCCUCGCCGCCCCUGCGAGCUCGGUGGCGGGAUGAAUGGACAGGGGAGGUGGACGAUGAGGGCUACUCCAUUCAGCAGAUCCGCGCCGCCCCUGCCCAAAUCCUCUCCGCGUGCGCCGCACCCAAUCCCGUCCUCGCUCGUCUCACGCGGCCCUCUUGCGCCGCUCGUCUCCACCUCAUAUCUGGCAUCCUCGCUGCGGCCAUAGAUCGAGGAGGACGGCGCGAUGACGACCAUGAUGCAUCGGACAUCCCAGAUCGACGACGCGAUGGAAGACAUGAGAGCUGGCCGAGGAAGAGGGGGCAGGGCCGCAGGUCAUGAAGGGCACGGCGGCUGCGGGCGGAAGCAGCAUGGGUUGAAGGAGCGGCGGAUGUGGGCGGGGUCGGAGGUUGGGGGAGACUCGUCGGCUGGGCGACAGCGAGCGCCGGUGAGCGCAAUGCAUGAGUUUCCAGAAGCGUCCUCUCCUACAAGGUAGGCAAGGACGAUGUCGUCGCCCUCGCAGGUUCUCAAUCUGUUGCAUCUCUGUUCUCCUCGUCAAGGUUAGCUGCUCUAAUUCCUAGAUCUGGGGUGUGGCUGCAGGGGAGGGGAGGCGGCCAAUGACAGGGAGAAGCAGCAGGCCGUCGAGGAGUGCAAGCAGAAGGGGAAGCUUCUGGACGGGAUUUAGACAAGGAAACGGAGACCCGUGCGAAAUCGAGCAUCCUGGUAGUGCCUCGACCAAAGCGGGUCGACGGAUAGCACCGGUGAGCACGGAGCAUGGUGCAGCGAGUUGGAUAGGCAGCAAGAGAGGUGACCACGGGUGUGGCUUGGGGAGCUCCGCACACAUGAAGUGAUGAUGAGUGCAUCCGACCCCACCAUGCUGCUGGUCCUGGAGAAACAAGGGGUAUAUGAACCAGAAAUGAUGUGAUAUACUUGGUUAUUUGAACAUGAAGGUCAGCCGCGGGGUGAUGCGACAUGGCUCAUUACAAGCUUCAGCUGGAUCGAAUAGUGGGCCUUCUAUAUAUAUAUUCAGCUGUAUCAUUUCUUACUAUAUAUAUCUUCCUGUCGACCAGACGAAACCAUACAUGGAUCCUUCGCCUCCUUUCUUGCUCAGAACCCAUGAUACAACCUCGGCGGCUGUCCAGCGACUAACAGGUAAUUUCUCUUUCAAUUUGAUGAUGAUGGAUGAGAAUCAGUUCUAUGAUUGCAGCUUAUAAAAACAGAUGUUGGAUGUCCCUUAUGUGAUGUGCUUAUUUACCAUGAUAGAUGCAAUUGCUUAUUAGCAGGUGCUCUCUGAAUCCUUCUUUAACUAAUUUACUUUUGAUGUUCGGACAAAGGAGACUAUAACUUUUUAUAUUCGUUCUAUCAUGGAUUCCCUCUCUAGCCUAUGUACGUUUCAGAAAUAGGUACACACCUAGGAGAAGCCUGAGACCUAAUAAUAGUGCUAAGCAAUUACUCUGAUUGUCAUUCUAUGCUAUCAUCACAACACAGGUCAAUAGACAGUCAACAAAUGUGUAAUCAGCUUUCCCUGGGUCCUGGAUCAUCUACUAAUAAUCAAAUUUUGUGGCGAGCGUCUUAUAAAUCAGCAUACCUAUUUCUCCACACUGGAUAGCUUUUAUUGUGACUACAAAGAAUAUAGUUUGAGGACGGCAUGCCAAUUGUUCUAUGUCUUAGGGUGCUCCACCGAUGGUGAAAAUACCUCACAUGAUGAUGUUGGAUAUUCUUCUACAAACUUCUGGCCUACCAGUGGCUGAGUAUCGAAGCAAAAUGUGACAGUUGCAUGAUGUGCUUGACUGUUUAUUUGCAUACAGCAAUAUCAUCUUUUGGAGAUAAAACAGCCGUACGGCUGUUACAUGAGACCAUGUCGGAAGACCCUGCUGCUAUGUAAGCAAAAGGAUUCAUGAUACCCGCGGUGAAAACAGAGAUAAGAUGCUACAGUUAGAGCAGCAUUGAGAAACCGAGGACACGAAAUGAGUCUGAAAAAUGCUAUGGGCUGAUUCGUUCUAGCUAGGCUAUGUGUGGUAGAAGUUGUACUCACAGGAAGACUAUCGUGCUUUGUAUAAACCACGUUAUAUGAUUCACUUCUGUUAUGCUUAUUUACAUUCCAGUGUUAGGACUGAAAUCCAUCUAUUGUAAUGAAUUUGGUUGUAUUGGCAUUACCUAUUUGACUUAGGCUUGGUUCAUCACAUAUAGACUGUUUUUCUUUAAUCCGCUGCUUGUAUGACCUAAAACUGUCAUGUAUAUGAGGCAAGUUAUUAGCAAUGUUUCACAUUUUCUUGCAA